rnacentral:lncRNA from 10 species
GCUCCCCACCAAAAGGCCAGGCCAAAACAAUAAAUUCUAACUAGUGUUUAAAACAACCAGUCUGGUGUUGAGGAAACUGAGUGGCUCUUUUCAAGCAGAAGAAAGACAGGAGAUGUUCUCUAUAUUAAUGAGCUGUUCUACUUUAGUGCUGUCGGGAGUGAUGCUGACGGCAUACGAGGCUGUGCUGUACUGGUUUGCAACAUCUGUCACUGGCUUACAUAGCUGUUAAUCUUUCAUUUCAUGUUCAGACUUAUCAGUAUUCAUUAAAGACCCUCCAUUUGUGCAAGACCUUCUGGGAAAGAGUGCCCUAUCUCGGUGUCUUAGAUUUAACAACAACGACAAAAAGGUUCCAUUUUAGACACUUUUUUUGAUCAGGCAGCAGGCAGUCUCUGGCUGUGGGAGGAGAAUUUUGUUUGUCUCUUUUUCAUACGCUUCUAGCUUUCCUUCCCAGGCUCCACCAACACCAACACU